rnacentral:lncRNA from 13 species
GACAGAGUGUCUCUUUGUCACUCAGGCUGGAGUGCAGUGUGUAAUCUCGGUUCACUGAAACCUCCAUUUCUCCAGGCUCAAUUGAUUCUUGAACCUCAGCCUCCCAAGUAGCUGGGAUUACAGCCCCUUUCACCCUGGACCUUCACUGAACUUUGGCGAGAUCGCAUCUGCUGUCUUGAUGUUUGAAACGAGAACAAGCAAUGGUUCAUGGAGGAAAGACAUCUCGUUACCUGCUUUUCUUGGUCCUUGAGGAAUCGCCAUACUGUCUUCCACAAUGGUUGAACUAAUUUACACUCCCACCAACAGUGUAAAAGUGUUCCUAUUUCUCCACAUCAUCUCCAGCAU